CUGUGAAAAUAAAGUGUUACUUUCCUUCAUAUGCGUUUCACUUUCAAUCACCUUGAAAUUUAUAGUGUUUGGCCAUCAAUUAUAAAAUAGUCCCAAACAGCUUUGUUAGCAGUUUGUGCGAAUCUAUGAAUAUGGCGGCAUGCUAGUGAUGUGGACGUGAGUUGCCAAGUGCUGGAUGAGUCAGAUCACGAGUAUUUUUUUUACCUGUGUCUUUGGAAUAGUUAAGAUAUGGUCAUCAGAUGAAGAGCAUAGCUGUCUGGCUGGGAUGUAGGGGAAGAGAAGUUAACAGAAAUUUGCCAAACAAAAAUCAUCACCAGGAGGAUGACAGUUUGUAUCCAGUUGGGCAGUUUCAGAUAGUGAAAUU